UGGGGGAUAUUGCACAAUGGGGGAAACCCUGAUGCAGCGACGCCGCGUGAGGGAAGACGGUCUUCGGAUUGUAAACCUCUGUCUUCAGGGACGAAUAAAUGACGGUACCUGAGGAGGAAGCCACGGCUAACUACGUGCCAGCAGCCGCGGUAAUACGUAGGUGGCGAGCGUUGUCCGGAAUUACUGGGUGUAAAGGGAGCGUAGGCGGGAUUGCAAGUUGAAUGUGAAAUCUAUGGGCUCAACCCAUAGCUGCGUUCAAAACUGCAGUUCUUGAGUGAAGUAGAGGCAGGCGGAAUUCCUAGUGUAGCGGUGAAAUGCGUAGAUAUUAGGAGGAACACCAGUGGCGAAGGCGGCCUGCUGGGCUUUAACUGACGCUGAGGCUCGAAAGCGUGGGUAGCAAACAGGAUUAGAUACCC
rnacentral:rRNA from 1 species